rnacentral:misc_RNA from 1 species
AAGUCGUAACAAGGUUUCCGUAGGUGAACCUGCGGAAGGAUCAUUACAAGAAACGAGGCUACGUGCCCCGCUCUUUACCUUGCCUACUGCACUAUCUGUUGCUUCCUGGCGGCGGUUUGCCUGCCGCCAGGGACAUUGUAAAGCCCUGUAUAAGCAUUAACAAACUGAAACAAACCGAAUCGUACAACUUUCAACAAUGGAUCUCUUGGUUCUG